GACGAACGCUGGCGGCGUGCUUAACACAUGCAAGUCGAGCGGUAAGGCCCUUUCGGGGGUACACGAGCGGCGAACGGGUGAGUAACACGUGGGUGACCUGCCCUCAGCUCUGGGAUAAGCCCGGGAAACUGGGUCUAAUACCGGAUAUGACUUCAUGACGCAUGUUGUGGAGUGGAAAGCCUUGUGCGGCUGAGGAUGGGCCCGCGGCCUAUCAGCUUGUUGGUGGGGUGAUGGCCUACCAAGGCGACGACGGGUAGCCGGCCUGAGAGGGCGACCGGCCACACUGGGACUGAGAUACGGCCCAGACUCCUACGGGAGGCAGCAGUGGGGAAUCUUGCGCAAUGGGCGAAAGCCUGACGCAGCGACGCCGCGUGAGGGAUGACGGCCCUCGGGUUGUAAACCUCUUUCAGCUCCGACGAAGCGUAAGUGACGGUAGGAGCAGAAGAAGCACCGGCCAACUACGUGCAGCCGCCGCGGUAA
rnacentral:rRNA from 1 species